rnacentral:lncRNA from 1 species
AAACAAAAACAAAAACUAAGUACCCCGCCAUCUCUGGCCGGAACUGGGAGAGCAAAGGGGCCUUCAUCGUCAUCCAUAACAAGCUCACCCUCGGGGGUAACCCGGGUAUCUAUCCUAGCCUAAAACCAAUCAACAUCAGGAUAAAUCAAGCCGACAUGGGCAAUGGCAUUAUCCCAGCCACUAUUAGCUACCCUAUCAACAUCAUCCUCUAGCUUCAGGUAGGCAGCCUUAAGGUCAUCCAACUCCUUAUGCACUCGGGCAUUUUCAGCCUUCGAUGUCUUCAACUUGUCCCAAAGUUGAAGCCUCUCGUCUUUACUCCUAUGAAGCCAAUCAGCCAGAGCCAACGCCUCCCUUUAGCGGCACCCAGGUCUAUCUUGGCCAACAUUUCCGCCACCCGGGCAUCCUUCAAUUGGAGGGACACAAUAGAGAGUUGCUCAACAGGCGAGAGGUUAUGAGCCUCCAAAUUCUUCACCACUUCAGUAUGCUUCUCCUCUAACUUACGAAGCUCGCCCAAAUGAAGUUUCAAGAGGUUGGCCAAAGGGUUCUCCCUGAUCCGGGUGGCGAGCACCCCCUCACCUUCGAGGUAUUUGGUGACGGAAGCCACCAUAACCCCAGCUUCCCGGGUACUCCUCAACAGAUCCACCAGGGGUACCCCGUCCAUGACAUCCUUCACCACCGGGUUGACCAAGCCCUUUUCAACAAUCCUGGGAAUAUUGUAAGUAGUCUUAAGACGGAGGGGGCAUAUUUACCCUUGUCAGAUGACUUGCCUGACCUUUAUUUUCCAGGUUGGGUACCCUCCUUUGAGGCCGCCUCGAGAGGGCUACCAGACCCGCUUUCUUGGGAUGUUUCCCUUCGAGGAUUAGAAGGAGGACCCUCAGUCCGUGUAGGUAGACUCAACCUGAGACACUUGCUGUUUUCUGCAUCCUUCCUCUUAGUAGUUGCUCGCUUUAGAAGCCUGUUACGGUAUGUUUGAUCCCCCAUAGCCACUCUAUUGAAAGAUACAAAUGAAAAAGUUCAGACAAAAAAUCAACAAACACAAACAAGAUAUAGAUAGUCGGAUGCAUACCGACUGCCUCCUCAAAGACUUGGUCGCCUUGAACCAGUUUGUAGCAAAGGAUUGAACGACCCUCUUUAACCCAAGCUAACAUCUCAUUCGUCGGCCUCCUCUCCUAAUCAUCCAAUUGAUCAUAGGAGAAACUAAAGGAGUUGGUCGGCCUAUGGUGAAUCCCCACAUUCCAAGAAAAGGGGAAAAGAAGGACGUUGUCAGGACCAUACGCCCAGUUAUGACGCGUCCCUCGAGACUCGACCAGAAAAUAGUCGCCCUUCCAGCUCUUCACAAAACCCUCGAAGUGCAGGAGCAGAGCUCGCCUAUUCCGAGACUGAAGAGACAUCCACCCACGACGCCCAGCCCGAGCCUCGUCUUUGUUAGAGUUAUGCGUCACCCGGAACAUCCAGAAGAAUAAACGGAGUGUGCAAGGUCGCUUCAUGACCUCACAUAAAAGUUUGAAGGCUCGAAUAAAGGCACAUGAGUUGGGGUGCAACUAAGAGGGUGUCACCUGAAGGUGUUGCAACACUUUUGUUUACCACCCAUCAAAAUGGACCUUCACCCCUAUUCAGUGGCAGACCUGCUCAUACAUAUAUAAACUUCAUCUAUUCUAAGUCUAAAAUAAGAUGUCAUGCAUACCUGCUCCCUAGCAGUAGGGGUGUACCACUGAAUGUCAUUAGCUCGCCGUGUCAACACUUCUACUGUCGGGCAUACGUCUGGAGGGAAAUAAGACGGAGUCCCCUUAACCUCUUGAUCAACCCACCAAUAGAGGCACUCGCUACCCGCCAUGUCCUCUAGGAUGGUAAACUGAUCCGCUUGAUCAGAAAAAUUAUGCCACAUAAUAGACCUGUCAUUAGAAGAAAUGUCAGAAUCCAAACUAGACAUAUUAUCCAAGAUUGGGCACCACUUAUCUGAGAAAAUCACUCGGUCAAUCAAGGACGCCCCAUGUCCAACCUUUUUCUCCCUCAGGUUGUGCCACAAGGUCGACAAGGACAGCUGGAUAGAUAGCCUCCAAGAGGAACGACUACUAACUGGGGCAGCAACAUGUUGCCCUUGUUGACGGCGGUGGCGAGUUGUGCUAGUAAAAAUGGGUUGAGUUCCGAGUAAGAUCUCCACCCCAUCGGGGCUCGAAUCCCUGUCUAAUGAUGUCAUGUCUGCCUACAAUGUUAUUAAAAAAGCGAAACAAAAAGAGAAAGUUACCCAGUUAAGGGUAGUUGAAGAUUCUAGAAGAAAAUUGAUGGUCAAAUUCAAACAAUGCAUAUGCUCGGCAGGAGACAAUUUCUCAGAAAGCAAAAGUGAAGAAGAAUGAAGGGAGAAAUCCCUAUUUAUAGGGAAAACCCUAAGCCCGGACCUUCCCAGGGGCCCAGCCCAAAAUAUGCAUCCACCCGUUCAAAAUCACUUAAGGACAAUCCAACGGUGACACAGAAACCCAGGCAGCGGAACUGAAACGAACAGACGCGUUGAUCUAUCAUCCUAAUUUAAGAUGAAACACCAAGCAUCCCCCCAUGUGUCCGAUAAAAACCCUUAGCCAUCAUGACCUAUACCUACACUUACCUAAAGAACCUACCCCUAUUCCAUUACUACCAAAUCAGAAUGAUCCAAGUCUAUUAACUCGGCCACCUCUGACCAGCCAAAGCCUACUAGUCCGGUCACCUUUGACCGACCUAAUAGACUAAGGGCAAAUAUUCCAGUUUGAUCAUACCGCAGACUGUCAACCCCAAAGUCUACUAGCCCGAUCACCAUUGACCAGCCUAAUAGACCAGGGGUAACUGUUCCAACCCGCUCUCACUCAGGCCUCCAACCUCAAAAGAAUCUAUUAGCCCGACAUCCUCGGACUGUCCCCUUUUACCUAAGCAACCCGUGCAGUACUUCGCAUGUCCCCGUCGUUCGCCUCAGAUGGAUCUACCCAUGGCAGAUGCAAUAAAUGCUCCUGGCGCGACAUUAAGGCAUCUGACAAAUUAUUUAAUGCACUUCAGGCAUGCUAUUUAAUGCAUAUUUGACAUAACAUUUAAUGUGCCGCUGACUCGCCAUUAGUGUCAGACCACAUACCACCUAUCAUGCCACCUGAAUAUUCUACCUGCCCCCGACAAAUCGACAAGGAUAAAUCUGCAAGUUAGGUAAGGACGAUCAAAAUGUGUUCCUCGUACCUGUUAAAUGUUGGCCAAUGAUCAGAUGUCAACUCAGCAUAUCCUAAGCCCUAUAAAUAGAAGAGACCACACAUAGAGUACAAUGAACCUAUCAUCCUCUAAUUUAUUGCUAUAUUUAUUAUUCUAACUUCUCUCUUAUUUACUCUCAUUCUCUCUCUAGAAUAUUCUAUUGACUUGAUCGUCGGAGAACCUUUUCAGGUACUGCCCCCGACGGGCCCAGAAGAUCAUUCGACUAAGUUACCCGUUUUCCUACGCUAACCGGACAUACUCUUCCGGCCAUCCAUCCUCAGCUCCCGACCAUCUACUCUUAACACUAAAAAACAAUUAUAAACUAAAAUUUAAACAAUAUGCUUUAUACCAAGUGUGAAAGAAUGAUUAUACAAAUAUUUAUAAAUUAUCUAUGAAUGAUUUUAGGAGUUUUAACUAUGCAAUAACAAUUGCCCCAACAAAAAUACACUAGUAUCCAUAAUUUAUUUAGAAUGGUUAGGAUGACCUAAAAUUGAGAGGGCAUCAUUCAAAAUCUAUUAAGAAAGAUUUGUUGUCUCAAAAUAUAUCUUAAACUAUAUAACAGACUAAUAACAUUAAUGUAAAAAUAGAAAUCAAUAAAUUUUUAAUUUUUUAAGUAGCAUGUUUUCAUUAGUGCAAGGUAUGAUUUGAGAUAUCGGUUGAUACUUCAAAUCUUAUUCACAAUCUAAUGGGGACAUAGAUGGAUACAAGUCAUUGGAGAGGGCCUCUCACGUAGGCCCAAGUGUCAACUGCAUUUACGCUUUUCAGGAUAAGUUAAUAUCGUUACGUGUAUUAUCGUAAGAGGUUCUCGUUCUGCCAAGUCAGCAUAAUAGUAUACGAUAAUCUUGGUCUUAAAUGUGAAAUUCUGACGAAGUAUGCGGUUCGGGAAAUUUAAUAUAUCAAAGCAUAAAGGAAGAACUACGGAGAGGGAUACGUUGGUCCCUACAAAGCUUUAUAGUUUGAUUUUUGAGUGCAAACCAUGUGCUGCUGUCUCACACGGGAUGUUAAUUUCAUGUAUUUAUUAAAGAUUGUUUUCCUUUUAACUAUGUAUUUUAAGACACAAUUAAAUAAAGAAAAUAAGAAAUAGCAUGGUAAUUGAGCUUGGGAUAGAAAAUUAUUAUAUUCCACUUUUUAAUAAAUGAAUUUUGUUAAACAUUGCCUUUAAGGAAUUAAGAUAAUAUUAAACACGAUGUAUAUAUAUUAGAAUAUGAUUCAUAUUUUAAUUUUUCGACAUUCACUUUAUACUUUUAUUUCCUUAUCUUGCAUUUUCACAUUAUUAAAAAAAAUUCCAAGAAGAAUUACCUCAUACACAAUUUUUUCUCUCCAAUAAGGUAAUAAUAUGGUUAAGUGUUGGGAAUCCUUUCUAGUUGAUGUGGAAGCAAGACCAAUAAAUCUAGUAGAUAAAUCAUUGAAUAAUUCAAUGAUGAUUAUUCCAAGGUCUUGGAAUUACUCCUUAAGUCUUGAAAUUAUGAAAUCUAACUUAAAAAGUUGGAGUAGUACUUUUCAAAGUGUCUUGAUAAAUAUGACAUCAAAGUUCAAAGUUGUGAGGAAGAGAUGUAUCAAGCAAGUGAGAAAAAAUAACAUAGGGAGAAAGUGAAAGAGUUUAUAUCCACAUAAUGUGAGAUUUGUAUUCUUAGUGAAAUACUAGAGAGUUUGUAUUUUCAUCAUUUUUGGGUGAGAUUGAGUGUUAUUAUCUUUGUAAGAUAAAGUCAAAUAUUGUAAUCCUACUUUAUAUAGUGGAGAUAUUUUUUGGACUAAGUCACGUGUUUGUUUCCUUUCACAUUGAGGAGGUUUUUCCAUGUUAAAAUUUUUGAUGUUAUUCUUCCACUCUUCUCUAUUUUCUUUAUCUACUUGACACUUCCAUAAAUGUCCAUUUUAUAUCAUAGGAUGGAAAUUAGUGUUGAAUUUCCCAACAUUAAGUAAUAAUAUACAGUUUUUUUUCUCUCCAAACUAUGCAAGUCCUGUCAAAUACGGCUUUGAAUGAACCAAUUCUUUAAAAAGUUAUCCACUUAUCCUACCCAGUACCCAAAGCAGCAUUGUUGCAUAAAUUAGAAAAAUCAAUAAAUAUUUAAAUUUUCUAGUCGUGAUUUUGAUAAACACUAAAGCUGAUUGGACUUGCAUAUUCUCCCUCUUCUAAUAUAUAAAAGCCAAAUUAAAAUUUCUCUCAACUACUAUAAGUAACUAUACAUUAAUUUAACGUUUAUUUUUCUAACGACAUAAUUAGAUGCAACUGUCUUCCCUUUUCACAUAGUAAAUAAAUAGUUGGAGAAUAAGCAAUUAUAAGUUUUCAUAGAAUAAGAAAUUAUAAGCUAUCCGGAGAUAAAGUUUUCUCUUAAUGUCUUUGUAAGCGUCGUUAUCACAGUAUCAAUAUAGAUUCCUAUAAUUACUAAAGUCGAAAGCACGUUAAAUAGUCAUGUUUUUCCUUUAUAUGAUGAGAUCAUCAACCUAAUUGCUUAACAGCAAGCAUGUGAGAGAGGAAUGAUUUGAUGAAAUAAUCCAUAACAAACAAAAAUCCAUGGGGUGUUAUACACACUUUGGUACUUUUUGGUGUCGGUGUAUGUUCUGAUCGUAUUCUUAUACAGCGUACAUUCCCUUCUUUAAGUGCCUGCUAAUCCUAUCAUGAAUCAUCUUACAUAUAUGCCUUCUGGAAAAACAAUUAUGUGAUGUAAAUUGUUGAAGAAAAUUUGAAAAAGCAACUUAAAGAAAAUAUUCAACUUUGAUUUAAUAUUCAAAUAAAAAAUAUUUAAAUUUACUCUCUUGAUGGUAAGUAUUGUGGAUGGGGUUUAGAUGAAACCUUACUUAGGUCCAGAUAAGUAACUUAUCGUGAUAGAAUGAUGGUAAUAUCGACUUAUCACGACGAAAACCUCUAAUAUUCGAACUCCAGCACAAAGAAUCAGUGAGUUGUCAUUAAAGGUAAGAUUGGCCCCUGUUGGGUUUAUUGAAGUCCCACAUUGGAUAUGCGGGGAGGAAUGAAAGAGUUUAUAAGAGUGAAAGAUCCAUAGAAUUAAUACCUUAAGAUUUUGGUUCAAGACGUGGUGUCUCACUUGGCAGAUUUAUUCUUAAGUAAUUAUUUGGGUAUAACUUUAAGAGUAGCCUAUAUUGUGAUUUUUAAUAACUCUUUUAUCAUUCAAAUUAAUUAAUAAUUUUUCGAGAUGGUCUUUUUUCCGCCUUACAUUGUAUUCUUCAAGAAUGAGCUUCUCCAAUAUGACAAUUAAAAAUGCAGGAUUAUAUGGAUAUCAAGCUCAAGAUUUUCUAAGAUGCCUCCUGAAUUAAUGCAAGAGAUGGACCCAUCGGAGCAAUUAAGUCAAUAUCUUCCACCACGUAACAUUUUAACUUUUCACUCGACCGUUUAUAUAAAACAAAGUCAAAGUAAAAGAAUUUUCUGCCAAGAAAAUGUAUCAAAUGUGAAGAGAACAAAUUUACCUCCUCGGCCUAUAUAUAUAAACUAAUUAAAUUAAUUAACCGCGUGAAGUGCCCAUUACUUCAUUACGUGAUCACUGCAUUAAUGAAGCUUUAUUUUUAGUAGCAAAUUAUUGAGUAGAGUAAGGUUAAUCACAGUGGCCAUUACACAUUCCGUAGUGAUACUGCUAAAUUUGGUUAUUCUCAUCAACGUUUAGUUACAUUUUUUAUGGAUAAGAACGUUUAGGCAUGUUAAUGUGGCAAGAGAAGCAUUUUGUUGAAAACGUCUCCAGAAUGAGUUUUAUAAGUAUAUAUACAUAUCAAUUUAAUUGGAAACUGUAUAAUCAAUUAGGUGGGUAUAUUUGGUAUCACUUAUCACAAACCAUAUAAUAAUUUCUCAUAUCAAGACUUUUGCAUAUUAGGUCCAGAACAAGUUGUAAAAUUUUGUAUGAAAUCUAUAUAAUCACAGUCUAAAAUUUCUGUUUAGCUAAACAAAAUGGUAUACUCAGUUCAAGAAUGAAGUAUAUGUAAGUUGUAGUGAAAAUCAACAUUACUCUGCAGUAAAACAAUAUGUGAAUAAGAUUGUUUGGACUUUGGACCAUCACAGUCAUGAUUUAGGCCUUGCUUAACGGACCAAACUACCCAAUUGGUAUCCCGUGAAACCAGAAAUCACGAAGCAUUUAGGUCCUACAUGUUCAGUUUAAUCACGCCAUUUAACCCGGCUUUAAUCCCUUUAUAUAGACCCCCUCCUACGUACAUUUUCCUCAUCUCUUCUCUCUCUCUCCUAUCACUUGCAAACAUGACCACUUCACUCUCUUUGUUCUUCUUCCUCUUCUCUCUCCUCACCUUAACCACACUCAUUUCCUCUUCCCCACUUCAGGACCCUGAAUUGGUGUCACAAGAGGUGAACAGGUAUAAUGUCACACCACUUCUCCAUAUUAACUAAAUGUACAUUAUAUAUAAUAAAUAUAAUAUUAUGCUAGCUAUUAUAUGCAUUAUGUUAAUGCAAUUCAUUAGGUUCACAUUUUUCAUUUCCUAGCUCAUGUUUCCAAAUUAUACCAACGUGAAUAUUUUUUUGGACUAGCCACAAAUAUUAUCUAAGGGGGUCAAUUUUAUUCUAGCCACAACCACUUCAUAUAUGUUUACUUAUUUUAUUUUUGUGCAGGGAAAUCAAUGCCUCUAUGGCUAGGAGGAACUUGGGGUACCUUUCAUGUGGGACAGGAAACCCCAUUGAUGAUUGUUGGAGGUGUGACCCUAACUGGGAAAAUAACAGGCAAAGGCUAGCAGAUUGUGCAAUUGGGUUUGGCAAAAAUGCAGUGGGUGGAAGGGAUGGUAAGAUAUAUGUGGUCACUGACUCAGGUGAUGAUGACCCUGUGACCCCAAAGCCAGGGACACUUCGUUAUGCUGUGAUUCAAGAUGAGCCAUUAUGGAUCAUAUUUGCAAGGGACAUGGUGAUUAAGCUAAAGGAAGAGCUCAUAAUGAAUUCAUUCAAGACAAUUGAUGGAAGAGGUGCUAGUGUUCACAUUGCUGGUGGUCCAUGCAUUACUAUACAAUAUGUAACAAAUGUUAUAGUCCAUGGGAUUAAUAUACAUGAUUGUAAGCAAGGUGGUAAUGCUAUGGUGAGGGACUCCCCACAGCACUAUGGGUGGAGGACCAUAUCGGAUGGUGAUGGUGUUUCCAUCUUUGGAGGAAGUCACAUAUGGGUAGACCAUUGUUCUUUGUCUAAUUGCAAUGAUGGGUUAAUUGAUGCUAUUCAUGGAUCCACAGCUAUUACAAUAUCCAACAAUUACAUGACACACCAUGACAAAGUCAUGUUAUUGGGUCACAGUGAUACAUAUACUCAAGACAAAAACAUGCAGGUCACAAUAGCUUUCAAUCACUUUGGAGAAGGUCUAGUUCAAAGGAUGCCAAGGUAAAGUUAUGAAGUGAAGUAAAUUAUUGUUUCCUAUUUCCAACUCAUAGCUCAGAGCCUUUAAAAAGUUAAAUAAAAGUGACACUACAAGUUUUCCAAUUCUUACGAUAAUUUGUACAUACACACCAAGAAAAGAAACACAAAAAGGAAAAAGAGGAGUAAAGUGAAAGUGAAAGGGAUGUAUAGAAAUGAAAGCAUGUGCAUGGGGCUGAGUGUGUGUCACUUUGUCAAUACUCUUAAUUACUAUGUGGGACCUCUAGUGCUAAAAUUUGAAAAACAUAUGUGAUUGUUGCAGGUGUAGGCAUGGAUAUUUCCAUGUGGUGAACAAUGACUAUACCCACUGGGAAAUGUAUGCCAUUGGUAUCAACCUAAUUGCUUAACAGCAAGCAUGUGAGAGAGGAAUGAUUUGAUGAAAUAAUCCAUAACAAACAAAAAUCCAUGGGGUGUUAUACACACUUUGGUACUUUUUGGUGUCGGUGUAUGUUCUGAUCGUAUUCUUAUACAGCGUACAUUCCCUUCUUUAAGUGCCUGCUAAUCCUAUCAUGAAUCAUCUUACAUAUAUGCCUUCUGGAAAAACAAUUAUGUGAUGUAAAUUGUUGAAGAAAAUUUGAAAAAGCAACUUAAAGAAAAUAUUCAACUUUGAUUUAAUAUUCAAAUAAAAAAUAUUUAAAUUUACUCUCUUGAUGGUAAGUAUUGUGGAUGGGGUUUAGAUGAAACCUUACUUAGGUCCAGAUAAGUAACUUAUCGUGAUAGAAUGAUGGUAAUAUCGACUUAUCACGACGAAAACCUCUAAUAUUCGAACUCCAGCACAAAGAAUCAGUGAGUUGUCAUUAAAGGUAAGAUUGGCCCCUGUUGGGUUUAUUGAAGUCCCACAUUGGAUAUGCGGGGAGGAAUGAAAGAGUUUAUAAGAGUGAAAGAUCCAUAGAAUUAAUACCUUAAGAUUUUGGUUCAAGACGUGGUGUCUCACUUGGCAGAUUUAUUCUUAAGUAAUUAUUUGGGUAUAACUUUAAGAGUAGCCUAUAUUGUGAUUUUUAAUAACUCUUUUAUCAUUCAAAUUAAUUAAUAAUUUUUCGAGAUGGUCUUUUUUCCGCCUUACAUUGUAUUCUUCAAGAAUGAGCUUCUCCAAUAUGACAAUUAAAAAUGCAGGAUUAUAUGGAUAUCAAGCUCAAGAUUUUCUAAGAUGCCUCCUGAAUUAAUGCAAGAGAUGGACCCAUCGGAGCAAUUAAGUCAAUAUCUUCCACCACGUAACAUUUUAACUUUUCACUCGACCGUUUAUAUAAAACAAAGUCAAAGUAAAAGAAUUUUCUGCCAAGAAAAUGUAUCAAAUGUGAAGAGAACAAAUUUACCUCCUCGGCCUAUAUAUAUAAACUAAUUAAAUUAAUUAACCGCGUGAAGUGCCCAUUACUUCAUUACGUGAUCACUGCAUUAAUGAAGCUUUAUUUUUAGUAGCAAAUUAUUGAGUAGAGUAAGGUUAAUCACAGUGGCCAUUACACAUUCCGUAGUGAUACUGCUAAAUUUGGUUAUUCUCAUCAACGUUUAGUUACAUUUUUUAUGGAUAAGAACGUUUAGGCAUGUUAAUGUGGCAAGAGAAGCAUUUUGUUGAAAACGUCUCCAGAAUGAGUUUUAUAAGUAUAUAUACAUAUCAAUUUAAUUGGAAACUGUAUAAUCAAUUAGGUGGGUAUAUUUGGUAUCACUUAUCACAAACCAUAUAAUAAUUUCUCAUAUCAAGACUUUUGCAUAUUAGGUCCAGAACAAGUUGUAAAAUUUUGUAUGAAAUCUAUAUAAUCACAGUCUAAAAUUUCUGUUUAGCUAAACAAAAUGGUAUACUCAGUUCAAGAAUGAAGUAUAUGUAAGUUGUAGUGAAAAUCAACAUUACUCUGCAGUAAAACAAUAUGUGAAUAAGAUUGUUUGGACUUUGGACCAUCACAGUCAUGAUUUAGGCCUUGCUUAACGGACCAAACUACCCAAUUGGUAUCCCGUGAAACCAGAAAUCACGAAGCAUUUAGGUCCUACAUGUUCAGUUUAAUCACGCCAUUUAACCCGGCUUUAAUCCCUUUAUAUAGACCCCCUCCUACGUACAUUUUCCUCAUCUCUUCUCUCUCUCUCCUAUCACUUGCAAACAUGACCACUUCACUCUCUUUGUUCUUCUUCCUCUUCUCUCUCCUCACCUUAACCACACUCAUUUCCUCUUCCCCACUUCAGGACCCUGAAUUGGUGUCACAAGAGGUGAACAGGUAUAAUGUCACACCACUUCUCCAUAUUAACUAAAUGUACAUUAUAUAUAAUAAAUAUAAUAUUAUGCUAGCUAUUAUAUGCAUUAUGUUAAUGCAAUUCAUUAGGUUCACAUUUUUCAUUUCCUAGCUCAUGUUUCCAAAUUAUACCAACGUGAAUAUUUUUUUGGACUAGCCACAAAUAUUAUCUAAGGGGGUCAAUUUUAUUCUAGCCACAACCACUUCAUAUAUGUUUACUUAUUUUAUUUUUGUGCAGGGAAAUCAAUGCCUCUAUGGCUAGGAGGAACUUGGGGUACCUUUCAUGUGGGACAGGAAACCCCAUUGAUGAUUGUUGGAGGUGUGACCCUAACUGGGAAAAUAACAGGCAAAGGCUAGCAGAUUGUGCAAUUGGGUUUG